rnacentral:rRNA from 1 species
GGAGUCGCAUAGACAGCCAGGAGGUUGGCUCAGAAGCAGCCAUCCUUGAAAGAGUGCGUAACAGCUCACUGGUCUAGUGGUUCCGCGCCGACAAUGUAGCGGGGCUUAAGCACGCCACCGAAGACGCGGCUGCAUGAUUUGUUUCAUGCGGGGUAGGAGAGCGUCCUGUAUGGGGUGAAGCGGCAGUGUGAACUUGUCGUGGACUUUACAGGAGUGAGAAUGCAGACAUGAGUAGCGAGAGACGGGUGUGAAUCCCGUCCGCUGAAUGACUAAGGGUUCCGGGGCCACGUUCGUCGUCCCCGGGUGAGUCGAGUCCUAAGGCGAGGCCGACAGGCGUAGUCGAAUGGAUGAACGGGUUGAUAUUCCCGUACCGGUGUUACACCGUUCGAACUGAAUCUGAG